CGAAAUGCGAUAAGUAAUGUGAAUUGCAGAAUUCAGUGAAUCAUCGAAUCUUUGAACGCACCUUGCGCUCCUUGGUAUUCCUUGGAGCAUGCCUGUUUGAGUAUCAUGAAAUCUUCAAAGUAAAUCUUUUGUUAACUCAAUUGGUUUCUACUUUGGUAUUGGAGGUCUUUGCAGCUUCACACCUGCUCCUCUUUGUUCAUUAGCUGGAUCUCAGUGUUAUGCUUGGUUCCACUCGGCGUGAUAAGUUAUCUAUCGCUGAGGACACUGUAAAAGGUGGCCAAGGUAAAUGCAGAUGAAUCGCUUCUAAUAGUCCAUUGACUUGGACAAUACUUUUAUGAUCUGAUCUCAAAUCAGGUAGGACUACCCGCUGAACUUAAGU
rnacentral:misc_RNA from 1 species